rnacentral:rRNA from 1 species
UGCAGUCGAGCGGAACGAGAAUAGCUUGCUAUUCGGCGUCGAGCGGCGGACGGGUGAGUAAUGCUUGGGAACGUGCCGUAAGGUGGGGGACAACCAUUGGAAACGAUGGCUAAUACCGCAUAAUGUCUACGGACCAAAGGGGGCUUCGGCUCUCGCCUUAUGAUCGGCCCAAGUGGGAUUAGCUAGUUGGUAAGGUAAUGGCUUACCAAGGCAACGAUCCCUAGCUGGUUUGAGAGGAUGAUCAGCCACACUGGAACUGAGACACGGUCCAGACUCCUACGGGAGGCAGCAGUGGGGAAUAUUGCACAAUGGGCGCAAGCCUGAUGCAGCCAUGCCGCGUGUGUGAAGAAGGCCUUAGGGUUGUAAAGCACUUUCAGUAAGGAGGAAAGGUUAGUAGUUAAUACCUGCUAGCUGUGACGUUACUUACAGAAGAAGCACCGGCUAACUCCGUGCCAGCAGCCGCGGUAAUACGGAGGGUGCGAGCGUUAUCGGAAUUACUGGGCGUAAAAAGCGNACCCCCGGGGGUUUUGUUAAGCGAAGAUUGUGAAAGCCCCGGGCUCAACCUGGGAACUGCAUUUCGAACUGGCAAACUAGAGUGUGAUAGAGGGUGGUANAAUUUCAGGUGUAGCGGUGAAAUGCGUAGAGAUCUGAAGGAAUACCGAUGGCGA